rnacentral:lncRNA from 1 species
AAGGCUUCAACUAUUCCUCAUCUUUAACAAGUAGUAAAUUUAAAACUACUAACAACUGAGUAAAAUAAAGAUAACAGAAUAACAAAUUUGCAUCAUAUGUAUACUUAAAAUCACACUUUACAAUAAAUGUUUUGAUCAAUGGGAUGUCAUUUCAGGUUGAAGUAGUAUAAAAGUACGUAUUUUAAUUUUUAAAUAAAGUUAUAGAUUUAUGUUCAUCAGACAAAUGCAUAAUAUUUACAUUACAUAAAUAUGCUGGAUAAAAGAAAUAACAACACAAAUAUUCAUUCACUUGACAUUUUCUUAAUACCUAUUUUCAUCUUUAAUAAAAGAUUUGCAUUACAGAUUCUGUUAAAACAAACUAUCUUUUCAACUAAAAGACAUAAAUACCAUCAAGUCCCAAUGUUUAAAGGAGCACUACCACUUCUAAAUUUUGCAAAAUUAAUGUACUUUUAGAUUUUCCAGGCAGAGGCAAAGUGUAAAUAGAAUUCAUAGUGUUAAAUUAUAGUUUUUAAUUCUAAACUGAUCAUUAAGUAAAUUAAGACGAUUUGUUAUACUGAUAGUAGAAGCUGUUAACAAUCUUG